UGAUUUAAUUUGACCUUAUACCUUAUAUUGCAAUGUGAUGAAUAAAUUACCUUUUAUUUAUUCGUGAACAUUUGUAAAUUCAACGAAAAAAAAAAAAAAUUUGAAAGUUUGGCUGUGUUAAUUACUUUGGCAGUACUGUGUGCAUUGAUGUUUUCAUAUUCUUUUCACGAAAAUAUAUUUUAUGGAAGAUAAAAUGUCAGAGUCGGACAUAUUUGAUGAGAAACGUUCUACAAGUUUAUUCUCGAAUGAAAAAUUAUCAACAAACCUCAGCAUGGACAUUGCCAAUUCAGACUCAGAUUCCAUGUCUAUUUAUAUUAAUGAACCAGAAUUCUCGGAAGAUGUACCUGAAUGGAAGGGAAUGAGCAUGAAUGAAAUACGUAAAGGUUUUGGCAUACAUGAAUAUCGAGGACAUCCAUCAGUUGUUUCUUCUACAAAGCAUACAGGGCUGUUUAAGUUACUAUUAGUUAUCUAUACAUGAACCACCAAAACUUUAUCUGACACAUUAAAUAGACUGAAAUGGAGCCAUGGAUAUGUAUGAUUGCUGUGUUCUGCACAUUGUAUUUACCCAGUUGAUCAGGUGGCGACAUUCUCUCCAAUUGACAUUUCCUGGGUGAAACAGAUAAUGUCCGAAACUAACAAUAAAAUAGAAACACAAAUUGUCGAUGAUUACUGAAAGAGUAACUCACAAGCGGAUAAUCAAUAUCUGCCGCCAAUAUAAGAAUGAUGCAGUGUAUAUUUACUGUUGUGUAACAUAUUUUUUUAAUACUCACGAAAAUGUUAAAACGAGAACAGAAAAGCGCCCACAUAAUACUCGAUUUAACGUAAUGCUGCCGAAAGUAACACUGAGAAAUACAAAAAAGUAAAAAUUGUCUCUUUUUCUUAAUAAAAUUAAUCAAUUCUUACUAAAAAUGAAACAAGAAAAAAGAAUAUGGCAUUAUUUUUAUUGUUCGGCACGAAAGCCAGGUUUUCUGGUUGAGCAAUCAAUGGAGGUAGCCAUGGGAACAGUGCCGUUGUACUGACCGCGAUCAAUGGAACAUCCCAUAAAUACGGAAAGAUUGCGAAACAUUGAG